GUCAAACUGACCCGGUCCUAAAUGGUAAAACCGUCAAAGGGUCCCAGCUUGCGGGCCCGGCCCAGCUUAUUUGCCAGCCUUAAUAAAAACACAUCCGCCUUGUUUUAGUCAUGUUAGCUCUUUUACUUUACAUCCUAUGCUUUCUAGGAGUCAGUAGAAAAUGUAAACUUCUUAUACUUUACUUUUAUUUUGUAUGAUAUUGGCCUGGGAUGAUUUUAGAUUGAGUUUCCUGAGGAUUCUUAUAACCGACCCCCAACUCUUUUGAGAUUGAUGCAUAAUAGUAGCAGUUGUACUUUAAAACCAUACUUCAAAAUUUUGAUUCAACUAUUAAAGUCGUGUUCAAACUGUGAUUUUAGACAAUUACACAGGAUUAACUAUUUUAACCAUCUGCAGUUAUUUAUUAUUAGUUUUGUGAUGAAAUUUGCUCUUCAAAAUUGCAAUUUGCUUACUGUUGGAUUAAACAUAAGAAAUCUCAUCUUGGGAAUCAUGAUCUAAAUUUUGAGCAUUCUGUUAAUAAGACUGUUAUAUAAUAUUUGACAAUGCUAGGGAUGAAGGAAGAAAGCUAAAAACCGGUCGUUGAAUCUAACCUGAGAAUGAGAAUAAAGGUUGGAGGUCCCGAAGCUCCUGCGACUGCAAGGUAGCAUAAUACCACAGUGUGGCCCUUCUCCAUAUCUCUACUUACUGGCUGGGUGCAGAUAACACUGUAAUAAUAACAAAGCCAGAUAGAGAUACUGUUCGUUCAGAAUUGAUUCAGAUGGCGAGGACCCACGGAAAAAUCCACCUUAUUCAUGCUCCGCACAGCAACUUGCCCGGUCAAUAUUAUAUGUCUAUGCUAAACUUGGUGAUCUAUUUUCGUUGCCCCCUUUAAGCGUAUGUGAUAUAAUCAUUCUUAUCUCAGAAGAGAAGUAUGCAUUGUCCCCACUUAAGUUAUUAAGUAUUCCCAAAGACGAGGCGAUUUUUUUUUAUGUUGAAACUUUAUGUCAGCCAGGGGACCCUGAUCAUAAAUGGGUUUUAUUAUAAAGUACGCCAAACAAAGGGGGGUGGGAGGUGCUGGGUUGGAAUUGAUGCUUUGUUUGAGCACAAAGCAGGGACUUGCACGGCAUAUCUGAAGAGUGAUUCCAGGGUGAGUAAAGAACUCUAUGAUAUAGGUCCAGCAAUUGGUUGGCGCAUAGUGGCACUAACGGAGAGUAGGAAAGUUCAUUCUCAAAAAAAUAAAAUACAGAGACUACGAAACUUGUAUCAGGCUUUGA
rnacentral:lncRNA from 1 species